rnacentral:lncRNA from 1 species
GCCAAACCUCAUGACUCACUAUCCCAUUUAUAUAUUGGUUUCCUCCAAAUCUACCAAAUUAAAACAUUUGAGUGACGGCACCGAUUAACCUACACCUUCCGACGCCAGCACGAAAAGAAGGCAUUUCUACUCUUCGUCGCAUGCUGUACUAGAAGGACCAGUCCUCGUCUUCGUCACCAAAAGUAAGUUCGAAUUUGUGGGUUUUCUACAGAUUGACUAUGCAGUUUAAUUUUUGGGGUUUAAUUUUUGUUUUCUCAUUUUGUAGUUAGUAACAGUCAUUAGGUCGAAGGAAGGGUUUUUUUUUUUUUUUUUUUUCUCCUAAAUCGUGUGCGUUGUAAACUAGCUUUGAGUACUGGCUUGGAUAUCGAACACUUGAAAUUUGUUCUACAAAAUUUCCAUUGAUUCUUUUCCUUUUUUUUUUUUGGUUUUUUGUUUUUUGUUUUCUAUAAUCCCAAAAGAACAUGAAGUUAGCUUCUUCUUUUUUUCAUUUUUUUUUUCCAUAUUUUAUGUGACUUCUCAAUAAGGGCUUUCAUUCAGGAAUGCUUCAAGAAUGCCCAUAAGUUUAUAUUUAUAAUUUAAAAUAAUUUUGUUUCAGUUUCUAUUUUUGAACUCUUAGAUGUUGAAAUUUUGAUUUUUCUCAUUAUGGUGUGUAAUAUUUUGAGAUAUCUGGAAUAUGUGCAAAAAGCAAUAAGAUUGCUUUAAUGGAUGUGAGCUCUUAUUCCUGAGUUGUUUUUGAUGUGUUGGGGUUUAUUAUCGGCUUACGAUGGCAGAAAAUAACCAAGGAGUAUGCCAUGGUUAUGGAGAAAAUGGGCAUUUUUUUGCGGUCUAUCCGGAGAAACGUUGUUGCCCAUGGUGCAAAAGGGGGAGAUAGAGAGUAAGAAAAAAGGUUGUUUAUUCAAUACCUAUACUGGAAAAUGUGGAUAUUGGGAGUAGGUCAAAGAUAGCGAGGCUAGCAGUGAAUCAAGUACAGUUAGCGUAACUUCGAUGAAUCAUGUGAUGAGCAAAGGAGUUGAAGAACUGUCUUGCAUGUUUCAAUCUCAAUGUUGACUAUUUGAUCAACGUGAUGUGGGAUGUCUCUUAACAUGACAAUACACAAUGGAAGAGCAAAUGCAGAUGGAGAGAAGAAAGGAAAGGGAUGUGAAUGAGUUGCAGUGGUUAAUUUAAUGACCUUAUUCACUUUUGCAUUUUUCAGCAUUAGUAGUUUCAACGCUAUGUAGUAGUUAAGUAAUGUCGUUUUGUAAUUGUGUCGUUAUAUGAGAACUUGAUGUGAAUUGUCUAGAUGGUAUGGGUUGGAGUUGCCAUUCAAGGAAUGUGUAGUAUCAAGGUGAAAAAGUCUUAUAUGUUCAUUUUGAUGGAUACUGCAUGGUCUCUUCUUUUCUAUGAAUAAUUUAUAUCCGAGGAUCAAGAUAUUAGAUUAUAAAUUUUGAAGUAACUUAUAUCUAGUAAAUGAGGUAAAGUGUUUGUGUAAACAUGAAGAGAGUGAC